rnacentral:rRNA from 1 species
GUCAGCUCGUGUCGUGAGAUGUUGGGUUAAGUCCCGUAACGAGCGCAACCCUUGUCCUUAGUUACCAGCACCUCGGGUGGGCACUCUAAGGAGACUGCCGGUGACAAACCGGAGGAAGGUGGGGAUGACGUCAAGUCAUCAUGGCCCUUACGGCCAGGGCUACACACGUGCUACAAUGGUCGGUACAAAGGGUUGCCAAGCCGCGAGGUGGAGCUAAUCCCAUAAAACCGAUCGUAGUCCGGAUCGCAGUCUGCAACUCGACUGCGUGAAGUCGGAAUCGCUAGUAAUCGUGAAUCAGAAUGUCACGGUGAAUACGUUCCCGGGCCUUGUACACACCGCCCGUCACACCAUGGGAGUGGGUUGCUCCAGAAGUAGCUAGUCUAACCGCAAGGGGGACGGUUACCACGGAGUGAUUCAUGACUGGGGUGAAGUCGUAACAAGGUAGCCGUAGGGGAACCUGCGGCUGGAUCACCUCCUUAAUCGAAGA